GUGAGGAAUAUUGCGCAAUGGAGGCAACUCUGACGCAGCCAUGCCGCGUGCAGGAAGAAGGCGCUACGCGUUGUAAACUGCUUUUAACCGGGAAGAAACCCCAGGACGUGUCCUGGGUUGACGGUACCGGAGGAAUAAGCACCGGCUAACUUCGUGCCAGCAGCCGCGGUAAUACGAAGGGUGCAAGCGUUAUCCGGAUUCAUUGGGUUUCAAGGGUGCGUAGGCGGAGCGUUAAGUCAGUGGUGAAAUCCUGCAGCUUAACUGUAGACUUGCCAUUGAUACUGGCGCUCUUGAGUGCGCUUGAAGUGGGCGGAAUGUGCCGUGUAGCGGUGAAAUGCUUAGAUAUGGCACAGAACACCAAUUGCGAAGGCAGCUCACUAAGGCGAUACUGACGCUGAGGCACGAAAGCGUGGGGAUCGAACAGGAUUAGAAACCCGGGUAGUCC
rnacentral:rRNA from 1 species